rnacentral:rRNA from 1 species
GAUCAUGACUCAGGAUGAACGCUAGCGGCAGGCUUAACACAUGCAAGUAGAGGGGCAGCAUAAUGGAUAGCAAUAUCUAUGGUGGCGACCGGCGCACGGGUGCGUAACGCGUAUGCAACCUACCUUUAACAGGGGGAUAACACUGAGAAAUUGGUACUAAUACCCCCAUAAUAUCAUAGAAGGCAUCUUUUAUGGUUGAAAAUUCCGAUGGUUAGAGAUGGGCAUGCGUUGUA